ACAUCAUGUGAUGAGGAACAUAACUGCAACAAAAUGAUCGAUUAUUAUCGUGAUUACUUGUAUUUAAGUCUCUGAUGAUU